rnacentral:rRNA from 1 species
AGAAUCAACGCUGGCGGCGUGCCUAACACAUGCAAGUCGAACGAGAAAGUGGAGCAAUCCAUGAGUAAAGUGGCGCACGGGUGAGUAACACGUGACUAACCUACCUUUUAGUGGGGGAUAACCUAGGGAAACCUGGGCUAAUACCGCAUAGCACUUACGAGUCAAAGCAGCAAUGCGCUGAAAGAGGGGGUCGCGGUCGAUUAGUUAGUUGGCAGGGUAAUGGCCUACCAAGACUGUGAUCGAUA